CCUACGGGUGGCAGCAGUGAGGAAUAUUGGUCAAUGGUCGGGAGACUGAACCAGCCAAGCCGCGUGAGGGAUGAAGGUACUGAGUAUUGUAAACCUCUUUUGUCAGGGAACAAAGGCGGGGACGUGUCCCCGGAUGAGUGUACCUGAAGAAAAAGCGUCGGCUAACUCCGUGCCAGCAGCCGCGGUAAUACGGAGGAUGCGAGCGUUAUCCGGAUUUAUUGGGUUUAAAGGGUGCGCAGGCGGUUCGUUAAGUUAGAGGUGAAACGCCCGGGCUCAACCCCGGCACCGCCGUUGAAACUGGCAGUCUCGAGUUGUGGAGAGGUAGGCGGAAUGCGCGGUGUAGCGGUGAAAUGCGUAGAUAUCGCGCAGAACUCCGAUUGCGAAGGCAGCAUACCGGCUCCACACUGACGCUGAGGCACGAAAGCGUGGGUAGCGAACAGGAUUAGAUACCCGGGUAGUC
rnacentral:rRNA from 1 species